UACGUAGGUGGCAGCGUUGUCCGGAAUUAUUGGGCGUAAAGCGCGCGCAGGCGGUCCUUUAAGUCUGAUGUGAAAGCCCACGGCUCAACCGUGGAGGGUCAUUGGAAACUGGGGGACUUGAGUGCAGAAGAGGAGAGCGGAAUUCCACGUGUAGCGGUGAAAUGCGUAGAGAUGUGGAGGAACACCAGUGGCGAAGGCGGCUCUCUGGUCUGUAACUGACGCUGAGGCGCGAAAGCGUGGGGAGCGAACAGG
rnacentral:rRNA from 1 species